rnacentral:rRNA from 1 species
UACGGAGGGUGCAAGCGUUAUCCGGAUUCACUGGGUUUAAAGGGAGCGUAGGUGGCUUUGUAAGUCAGUGGUGAAAUAUUGCGGCUCAACCGCAAAACUGCCAUUGAUACUGCUUAGCUUGAAUCACGUCGAGGUGGAUGGAAUAAUACAUGUAGCGGUGAAAAUGCUUAGAUAUGUAUUAGAACACCGAUUGCGAAGGCAGUUCACUAGGCGUGUAUUGACACUGAGGCUCGAAAGCGUGGG